rnacentral:rRNA from 1 species
ACCUAAUAGAUACCCUGGUAGUCCACGCCCUAAACCGAUGCGAACUGGAUGUUGGGUACAUUACGGUACUCAGUGUCGAAAGCUAAACGCGUUAAAGUUCGCCGCCUGGGGUAGUACGGUCGCAAGACUGAAACCUCAAACGGAAUUGACGGGGGUCCCGCACAAGCGGUGGAGUAUGUGGUUUAAUUCGAUGCAACGCGAAGAACCUUACCUGGCCUUGACAUCUGUCGAAUCCUGCAGAGAUGCGGGUAGUGCCGCAAGGAACCGACAAGACAGGUGCUGCAUGGCUGUCGUCAGCUCGUGUCGUGAGAUGUUGGGUUUAAACGUUCCCCGGUCAACCGAGCGCAACCCCGUUGUCCCGUAGUUGCCAGCACAUCAUGGUA